rnacentral:rRNA from 1 species
CAAGGUUUCCGUAGGUGAACCUGCGGAAGGAUCAUUACCACACCNUCAAAWA